UACGUAGGGGGCAAGCGUUGUCCGGAAUUAUUGGGCGUAAAGCGCGCGCAGGCGGCUGUUUAAGUCUGGUGUUUAAACCAUGGGCUCAACCUGUGGUCGCACUGGAAACUGGACAGCUUGAGUGCAGAAGAGGAAAGUGGAAUUCCACGUGUAGCGGUGAAAUGCGUAGAGAUGUGGAGGAACACCAGCGGCGAAGGCGACUUUCUGGGCUGUAACUGACGCUGAGGCGCGAAAGCGUGGGGAGCAAACAG
rnacentral:rRNA from 1 species